ACGUGGGCAACCUGCCUGUAAGACUGGGAUAACUUCGGGAAACCGGAGCUAAUACCGGAUAAUCCUUUUCUACUCAUGUAGAAAAGCUGAAAGACGGUUUACGCUGUCACUUACAGAUGGGCCCGCGGCGCAUUAGCUAGUUGGUGAGGUAACGGCUCACCAAGGCGACGAUGCGUAGCCGACCUGAGAGGGUGAUCGGCCACACUGGGACUGAGACACGGCCCAGACUCCUACGGGAGGCAGCAGUAGGGAAUCUUCCGCAAUGGACGAAAGUCUGACGGAGCAACGCCGCGUGAGUGA
rnacentral:rRNA from 1 species